UUAAAACUCAAAUGAAUUGACGGGGGCCCGCACAAGCGGUGGAGCAUGUGGUUUAAUUCGAUGCAACGCGAAGAACCUUACCUGGUCUUGACAUCCACAGAACUUUCCAGAGAUGGAUUGGUGCCUUCGGGAACUGUGAGACAGGUGCUGCAUGGCUGUCGUCAGCUCGUGUUGUGAAAUGUUGGGUUAAGUCCCGCAACGAGCGCAACCCUUAUCCUUUGUUGCCAGCGAUUAGGUCGGGAACUCAAAGGAGACUGCCAGUGAUAAACUGGAGGAAGGUGGGGAUGACGUCAAGUCAUCAUGGCCCUUACGACCAGGGCUACACACGUGCUACAAUGGCGCAUACAAAGAGAAGCGACCUCGCGAGAGCAAGCGGACCUCAUAAAGUGCGUCGUAGUCCGGAUUGGAGUCUGCAACUCGACUCCAUGAAGUCGGAAUCGCUAGUAAUCGUGGAUCAGAAUGCCACGGUGAAUACGUUCCCGGGCCUUGUACACACCGCCCGUCACACCAUGGGAGUGGGUUGCAAAAGAAGUAGGUAGCUUAACCUUCGGGAGGGCGCUUACCACUUUGUGAUUCAUGACUGGGGUGAAGUCGUAACAAGGUAACCGUAGGGGAACCUGCGGUUGGA
rnacentral:rRNA from 1 species